rnacentral:rRNA from 1 species
CCUACGGGUGGCAGCAGUGAGGAAUAUUGGUCAAUGGGCGCGAGCCUGAACCAGCCAAGUCGCGUGAGGGAAGACGGUCCUAUGGAUUGUAAACCUCUUUUGUCGGGGAGCAAAAGACGCCACGCGUGGCGUUCCGAGAGUACCCGAAGAAAAAGCAUCGGCUAACUCCGUGCCAGCAGCCGCGGUAAUACGGAGGAUGCGAGCGUUAUCCGGAUUUAUUGGGUUUAAAGGGUGCGUAGGCGGACGCUUAAGUCAGCGGUAAAAUUGCGGGGCUCAACCUCGUCGAGCCGUUGAAACUGGGUGCCUUGAGUGGGCGAGAAGUACGCGGAAUGCGUGGUGUAGCGGUGAAAUGCAUAGAUAUCACGCAGAACUCCGAUUGCGAAGGCAGCGUACCGGCGCCCAACUGACGCUGAAGCACGAAGGCGUGGGUAUCGAACAGGAUUAGAUACCCGUGUAGUC